rnacentral:rRNA from 1 species
AUUGAACGCUGGCGGCAUGCUUUACACAUGCAAGUCGAACGGCAGCACGGGAGCUUGCUCCUGGUGGCGAGUGGCGAACGGGUGAGUAAUGCAUCGGAACGUACCCAGUAGUGGGGGAUAGCCCGGCGAAAGCCGGAUUAAUACCGCAUAUUUCCUGAGGGAGAAAGCGGGGGACCUUCGGGCCUCGCGCUACUGGAGCGGCUGAUGUCGGAUUAGCUAGUUGGUGAGGUAAAGGCUCACCAAGGCGACGAUCCGUAGCUGGUCUGAGAGGAUGAUCAGCCACACUGGGACUGAGACACGGCCCAGACUCCUACGGGAGGCAGCAGUGGGGAAUAUUGCGCAAUGGGCGAAAGCCUGACGCAGCCAUGCCGCGUGUGUGAAGAAGGCCUUAGGGUUGUAAAGCACUUUCAAUUGGGAAGAAAAGUUGGUCGUUAAUAGCGGCCAGCCCUGACAUUACCUUUAGUAAGAAGGACCGGCUAACUCCGUGCCAG